rnacentral:rRNA from 2 species
CAGUGGCGAACGGGUGAGUAACACGUGGGCAAUCUGCCCUGCACUCUGGGACAAGCCUUGGAAACGAGGUCUAAUACCGGAUAUUACCCCUGGGGGCAUCCCUGGGGGUGGAAAGCUCCGGCGGUGCAGGAUGAGCCCGCGGCCUAUCAGCUUGUUGGUGGGGUGAUGGCCUACCAAGGCGACGACGGGUAGCCGGCCUGAGAGGGCGACCGGCCACACUGGGACUGAGACACGGCCCAGACUCCUACGGGAGGCAGCAGUGGGGAAUAUUGCACAAUGGGCGCAAGCCUGAUGCAGCGACGCCGCGUGAGGGAUGAAGGCCUUCGGGUUGUAAACCUCUUUCAGCAGGGAAGAAGCGCAAGUGACGGUACCUGCAGAAGAAGCACCGGCUAACUACGUGCCAGCAGCCGCGGUAAUACGUAGGGUGCGAGCGUUGUCCGGAAUUAUUGGGCGUAAAGAGCUCGUAGGCGGCUUGUCACGUCGGAUGUGAAAGCCCGGGGCUUAACCCCGGGUCUGCAUUCGAUACGGGCAGGCUAGAGUGUGGUAGGGGAGAUCGGAAUUCCU